rnacentral:rRNA from 1 species
UGACGUUGGGAAAGCGAGCGGCGGAUGGGUGAGUAACACGUGGGGAACCUGCCCCUAAGUCUGGGAUACCAUUUGGAAACAGGUGCUAAUACCGGAUAAUAAAGCAGAUCGCAUGAUCAGCUUUUGAAAGGCGGCGUAAGCUGUCGCUAAGGGAUGGCCCCGCGGUGCAUUAGCUAGUUGGUAAGGUAACGGCUUACCAAGGCGACGAUGCAUAGCCGAGUUGAGAGACUGAUCGGCCACAUUGGGACUGAGACACGGCCCAAACUCCUACGGGAGGCAGCAGUAGGGAAUCUUCCACAAUGGACGCAAGUCUGAUGGAGCAACGCCGCGUGAGUGAAGAAGGUUUUCGGAUCGUAAAGCUCUGUUGUUGGUGAAGAAGGAUAGAGGUAGUAACUGGCCUUUAUUUGACGGUAAUCAACCAGAAAGUCACGGCUAACUACGUGCCAGCAGCCGCGGUAAUACGUAGGUGGCAAGCGUUGUCCGGAUUUAUUGGGCGUAAAGCGAGCGCAGGCGGAAAAAUAAGUCUAAUGUGAAAGCCCUCGGCUUAACCGAGGAACUGCAUCGGAAACUGUUUUUCUUGAGUGCAGAAGAGGAGAGUGGAACUCCAUGUGUAGCGGUGGAAUGCGUAGAUAUAUGGAAGAACACCAGUGGCGAAGGCGGCUCUCUGGUCUGCAACUGACGCUGAGGCUCGAAAGCAUGGGUAGCGAACAGGAUUAGAUACCCUGGUAGUCCAUGCCGUAAACGAUGAGUGCUAAGUGUUGGGAGGUUUCCGCCUCUCAGUGCUGCAGCUAACGCAUUAAGCACUCCG